rnacentral:lncRNA from 1 species
UUUUUUUUUUUUAGGGCUGCACCCACAACAUAGGGAAGUUCCUGGGCUACGGGUUGAAUCGGAACUAUAGCAGCCAGCCCACACCACAGCCAUAGUAACACCAGAUCCAAGCCGUGUCUGAAACCUACACUGCAGCUCACAGCAACACCAGAUCCUUAACCCACUGAGCGGGGCCAGGGAUCGCACCUGCGUUCUCAUGGGUACUAGUUGGGUUCAUUACUGCUGAGCCUCAAUGGGAACUCCUGAGAUUUCUUAUAAUCUGCUUUGACCACAAAUCUUGGCUUGAAAAUAAGAUGGCCCCAUUCAAUUUCAUUCUAAGCUGAAAUCUUUCUACCCACAUAUAGACAUUUGGAAGCAAGUUUUAGAAAUUCUGACUUCCGACUCUUGAUGACCUUCUGUGACAACAGGUGGUUUUCUUACACAGAGAUGGGCUAUUCCAACACUGGCAGAUCAAGGGAGGGGGGGAAACAGGCAAGCAUAUGCUCCUGCAGCCCCCAAUCCGCCAGAGAACUGUUCCACCCUUGUCUGCCAUGGGCCACACCAUCUGAACUUGGUUGCGUGUCCCUGGUCCUGGGUAGCAAUUCUCCCCCCCAGCUGCAUGAGGAGGUGAGAAUAUGUGAACCAGGUUCUGAAGGAUGCAUAGGAGUUCACUGGGUACAGGUGCUGGAGAAGAGAAUAUCCAGGGAACGGUAUGUGCAAAAAGCAUGGGCAGUAGGGUUUUGCAGGGGCAGAGGUUGGGCAGAAGGCAAAUGCCAGACUGUGAAUGGUUUUCCUUGCCCUAAGAAUGGGACUUCUACAGGACCCUGGGGAAUGGCCGAGUCAGACUUAAUUGGUAAGAGCAUCACUUUGACAGCAUAUGGAGAAGAGGCUGGUUCUGGGGGGGAAAAAAAGUCAAGAAGCCAGUUAGGAAGCUGUACUAGUCCAGGCCCGCAUGAUGGGGGCUUUGGACAAGAGCAGGAGCUGGGGGUGCGUGGGAAGAAGGGUCAAAUCUGAGGAAAGACCCCAUGAUUUGUUUAGAGUUGCCCCUGAGGCUACAGGGAUGGGGGUGGGGUAGGCAGCUGAGUCCAGUACAAGGGACAGAGCUAAGCAAUCUGAUUCUCAAGGCAGUUUCUGCCUUGACCCUGGAAUUUUUUACAUUCCUCCUGGUCAAGGGCAGCCAGCCGUAUAGAAGGCCAGGACAGAGGGCUGGCAGGGAAAACCGGUGAUUUCUAACAACUUCUCUGCUUCCUUUUAAGCUGAAAGUCCUCGGAUCAGGGAGCCCACGCCCUUUUCAUGCACAGAGAACAGAGGACGAGGGGGUGGGGGUGACCCACCCAAGGUCAACAGAGCAGAGCCUGGGGUGGGAGCAAUUCUAGGGGCUUCAGCUCCAGGGUUGUCUUCUGCUGCUGGACAACGCUGGCGUUCAGAAUUUGAUUUGGAGGAUAAAAAAUUAACCCUCAACCACCCAUCCUUAGCUGGGGCCUGAUAUGAUCCCAUUAGAAACACCCCUACAGGUCAAUGAAUUCUCUCCAGGAAAAGAGCAUGAACUUCGAGGGUGCGCAGGGUGUGUGUGUGUGAGAGAGAGCUGAGAGAGAGAGAGAAUAUGAAGCUGAGCCCAGAAAGCACGGCCCACGUCUGAUUGUUGGGGCUUCUAGGUAACAGUGAUAGCUUCUUUUGUGCAGCUGACACAGAGCUGGGUGGACUGAACGGUACAAGCCAGCUUCCUCCUCUGAAGACACAGGACAAGACCCACAAAGACCAACAAAGUUAAAGAUGAAUUAUCAUUGUUAUUAUUAUUUUGUCUUUUUAGGGCUGCAUCCGCAGCAUAUGGAGGUUCCCAGGCUAGGGGUUGAAUCAGAGCUUAGCCACCGGCCAACAGGAGCUACAGUCUCCAGGCGACACCACAGCCACAACAACGUGGGAGCCGAGCCAUAUCUUCGAGCUAUACCACAGCUCACAGCAGUGCUGGAUCCUCAACCCACUGAGCGAGGCCGGGGAUAGAACCUGCAUCCUCAUGUGGGUUAAGGAUCCAGCACUGCCAUGGGCCAUGUGGUGUAGGUCACAGAUGUGGCCCGGCUCCCAUGUUGCUGUGGCUGUGGUGUAGGCUGGAGACUGUAGCUCCAAUUCCACCCCAGCCUGGGAACUUCCAUAUGCCACANNNNNNNNNNNNNNNCCCCAAAAAAAAAAAAAAAAAAAAAAAAAAAAAAAAAAGAAGAUUCUCAGUUCACGCUUAGGUACCACCCACCAGUUCUUAAGUCUUUCCUGUCCGUGAGUUCACAGGUUCGCAGGUCCUUUCAGACUGUGACUCAUGACAGCUUUGAUGCCGCUUUUGCAGCAGAGAACACAGCCCUGGGAAGGCAGUGACUAGCCUAAGAUCUCACAACUAAAGAACCCUGAAGCCCAGGAGAGACCCCACCUUCUGGCUCUAAGCCCUGUAGGAUUUCAAUACCACCACAGCAGCGUCCCCGACAGAGGCCCUGAAUUCUAAGGCAAGGGACUCAUUCACACAAGCCCCCCGGCCCCUACCCCAAGAGUGGCCACAGCUAUAACCCGGCUGGUCCAGGGAGCAAAGGGGCCCAUAAAGGGCAUCAAAUGAGGUUUGGGGAUCCAAGGAGUCUUCUUGAAAAAGAUAAGACUAGGAGGUUCCUGUUGCGGCUCAGCGGUGAGGAACCCGACUAGUAUCCAUGAGGAUGUGGGUUCAAUUCCUGGCCUUGCUCAGUGGGUUAAGGAUCCAGCACUGCCAUGAGCUGUGGUGCAGGUUGCAGACGCAGCUCGGAUCCUGCGUUGCUGUGGCUGUUGUGUAGGCUGGUAGCUGCAGCUCUGAUUGGACUCCUAGCCCAGGAAUUUCCCUAUGCCACAGAAGCUGCCCUAAAAAGCAAAAAAAAAAAGGACUAAAGGAAAUUAGCCAGAAUGAAACAGCAGGGCUGGAGAGAACAGUGUUCUAGGCAGAGGGAAUAGUAAAUACAAAAAGCUUAGAGGCAAGAGAGCGCAGGUGUGUUUGAACAACGGAAGCCAGAGCAGCUGGAGCAUAACUUCUGCCAGGUGGCAAAGGACGAGGCCAAAGAGAGAGGCAGAUUCUGCGCUCAAGGGUCUUAGAGACACACGCUGAGUCCGAGCUCAUCUUCUCCAUCGCGUCGGGGGUGAAAACGGUACUGCUCUGAAAGCUGUUUGGGCGCAUCCGCAGAAACAUGUCAAACCUUUGGAUUUAGAAAGUCCAUCUCUGAGUCCAGCUCAGAAGAAACAAGCACCUCCAUCCACCAAGAGACCUGCCCAGGAACGUUCUUAGCAGCACCAACCAUAAGGGCCCACCCUAGAAACAACCGAAUCUUUCAUCUGGAGGAAAACAGAGAAACUGCAGUACUUUCAUCCAAACACUCGCAGCCAGGAAAAAGAAGGAAGGACUGCUUCCCACGGCCUGAGUGGAUCCGCAGACAGAAUACCCGGCAAAGUGCCAGCUACACAAAGAACACACAACUGCACCACUGCACUUACAUGAAGUUCAAGAACAAGCAAUGCUCAUCGCGGUGACAGGACUUGGAACAGAGGCCACUGCUGGAGGCGGGCAUUUACUGGGAAGGGGCAGGAGGGAAGCUGCUGGGACUCCAGAAGUUCCCUACAUCUGGAUCUGGUGGUGGUGACAUAGGCUUAAGACACAGGUGCCC